UACGGAGGGUGCGAGCGUUAUCCGGAUUCACUGGGUUUAAAGGGUGCGUAGGUGGGAAUGUAAGUCAGUGGUGAAAUCUCUGAGCUUAACUCAGAAACUGCCAUUGAUACUAUGUUUCUUGAAUUAUCUGGAGGUCAGCGGAAUAUGUCAUGUAGCGGUGAAAUGCUUAGAUAUGACAUAGAACACCAAUUGCGAAGGCAGCUGGCUACAGGUGGAUUGACACUGAGGCACGAAGCGUGGGGAUCAAACAGG
rnacentral:rRNA from 1 species